GUGUGAAUUCCACCAGCCAAGAUCUUGUGAUGUUCAAGUCACUGUAUGGAUACACCAGGAGUGAAAUUCCAGCUAACUACUUGUGGCAUGCUGUGAGCCAGGGCUAAGAUGAUGGGUGUAGCCCCUACUGGUUAUAUCAAUAGACAGCAGUUCGUCUCUCCCGGAUUGGCUGCAGUCUGAUGUUAAAGCUGACCAAACAAGAUGUUCUAACACGGGGCAGUCUUUAUGCUUUUUGGAAGAAUAUUCCACAAGUUCAACGCUAGGAGACUCACAUCAGAGGUGUGGUGCGUUGCUGUAAGAAGAAUGACGUCUACUCAUAAACAAGUUUAAGACUGGACC